UACGUAUGGUGCAAGCGUUAUCCGGAUUUACUGGGUGUAAAGGGAGCGUAGACGGCAUGGCAAGUCUGGAGUGAAAGGCAUGGGCUCAACCCGUGGACUGCUUUGGAAACUGUCAAGCUAGAGUGUCGGAGAGGCAAGUGGAAUUCCUAGUGUAGCGGUGAAAUGCGUAGAUAUUAGGAGGAACACCAGUGGCGAAGGCGGCUUGCUGGACGAUGACUGACGUUGAGGCUCGAAAGCGUGGGGAGCAAACAGG
rnacentral:rRNA from 1 species